rnacentral:rRNA from 1 species
GACAGAGGGUGCAAACGUUGUUCGGAAUUACUGGGCGUAAAGCGUGUGUAGGCGGCUACAUAAGUCGGAUGUGAAAGCCCCGGGCUCAACCCGGGAAGUGCACUCGAUACUGCGUAGCUUGAGUCUCGGAGAGGUUGGUGGAAUUCUCGGUGUAGAGGUGAAAUUCGUAGAUAUCGAGAGGAACACCGGUGGCGAAGGCGGCCAACUGGACGAAGACUGACGCUGAGAUACGAAAGCGUGGGGAGCAAACAGG